CUAUUCUCAACAUGAAUGCUGUAGUUACUUUAUUGAGUUUUAAAUUGAAUACAAUCAUCUCUUAUGAAACUCUUCUGUAUUAUGAAAUCUGGUGCAAAUGCAAUCGAGAGUUUUAACAAAUUUGCACUUAAUUUUGAAUAUUGUCGGUGUACAUUAUUAGUUAAUUUAGUUGACAGACAGUAACGAAAUCUUCAUAUUGGAUAAGGAAGUGGUGGAGGCAAAUCUGUUGUUAUAGAUAUUAGAGCUACUUACAAAGUUCUGUAAAAAAAAAAAACAUCCGAUAUAUUUUCUUUCAAAAGUGUACUUGACUGCAUUUACUCACAGCUGGAAAUUUUUAAAUAUUAAUUAAAAACUUGAAAAAAAAAAUUAGUUACAAUGAUGCUAUGAAAUACAAUCUGUUAGUCCCAUGAUUCCUGAUUAAUUAUUGAUACUGAUCAAUAGUGUUCAUGAUUGUGUAUUUGUAAAUUGAAUUAAAUUCUAACCAGCCACUGUUUUGUAUUUCUGAUGAUGGAUACAUGCUGAAUGAGCAACAAAGUUUUUAAAACAGAGAUUAAAGAAGAGGAAGGGCAACAGUAGCUGUCUACACUAGUGGAUAUUGAAGAUGAAAUGCAGUGCCCAUAUAUUUUUAUUAAUGGUAAGUCUCCUCUUAACAUGAAAGAUUCACUUGCUUUGACUUUUUUUCUCUCGUGUCAUUCAUUUUACGUCAUUGGUUCCUUUUGUUCAGAAACAAUGAAGAAACCUUAAUACUUUCACUGUCCAGACUCCCAAAAUUUAUAUUCUUUUCUGAAAUGGUAGUAAAUCUUUUCCUUAACACAAGUAUUGUUAUGAAAAAAGAUAAAAAAUUAUACCAUUGCAAAAUUAGUGUUCUUGGCACCGUUUACAUGAGGGUAAUUUCACACACUUUGUCCUAUUUGAGACCAAAUUUUUAGUUGGUUUGCAUUGCACGCUAUUAAUCCAAGUCUGCCAGAGAGUUGCUGCCUUUACUGUUCUAGCAGUCUUAUAACGUGCUGUUUACACUUACAGAACUUGAGUCAACACUUUCCACUUGCUGCUCAUCAGCAGCUGGACCUGAUGGCAUUCACAUUAGUAUGCUUCAACAUUUACAUCUGUCAGCCCUCAUAGUUCCUUUGCGUCUCUUUAAUCUUAAGCCACAGGGGUCUUCCCUAUCCAUGGAAAAUAUUGUGGCUCCACCUUUUUCUAAACCACGUACUUAAGACCCUGAUGCCUUCCACUGUCAACCCAUUGCUUUUAUCAGUGCAGUUUGCAAGUUGAUGGAACAUCUAGUAAAUAGAUCUGGAGCGUGGUAUUUAUAGAGACACGAGAGUUUGUCCACUUGUCACUUUGGCUUCGUAAGGGCCGCUCUACUGUUCACCCCCCUUAUUCCAGUAAUCAUUCAGUUAUCAGUCUCUUUUGCUCUUUAAAAAGCAUGAGUACUUAGUAGUGAGAUACACAGUAGGGCCCCACUUACACUGCAGGUUCGGUUCCAGGCUACUGCCAAAAAGCAGAAUGCCAUUUUUUGCACUUAUAAAUGCCAGGUAACACGUUAACACUAACACAUGCUAUGUUAGCAAUAAAACUAGGCAUUAAAAACAAAGUAAAAUACACACACAGUACUCCCAUUACUUACCUUUAAAUAUUUGUAGUCUUAAUGUAGGGAUGUAUAGGUAGCCAGGAAGGGCAGCCCUCCCCACCCACAUAAUGUAAACAACCCAGGCUAACACGUCUGGUUUUCGUCACUUUACAUUGUGUACAAGUUGUCUCCACGUUGAUACAGUAGAAUAAAUAAACACUCCCAUUCUCAUGUAAUACCAUUUUUUAGAAGAAAUGAUACCCUGAGUGAAAGCAUGUGAAAUGAAUAAUUUUCUGAUUACCCCCAGUAAUAUUAUAGUGACACAUUUUCUCUGAUGUUGGACUACAAGUCGCCUGGCUACCGCAAGCCCUGCAAAUCGCCUGGCUACCGCAAGCCCUACAAGUCGCCUGGCUACCACAAGCCCUACAAGUUGCCUGGCUACCACAAGCAUUACAAGCCGCCUGGCUACUACAAGCCCUACAAGCCGCCUGGCUACCACAAGCCCUACAAGCCGCCUGGAUAUCACAAGCCCUACAAGCCGCCUGGAUAUCACAAGCCCUACAAGCCGCCUGGCUAC